rnacentral:rRNA from 1 species
UACGGAGGGUGCAAGCGUUGUCCGGAUUUAUUGGGUUUAAAGGGUGCGUAGGCGGCUAUUUAAGUCAGCGGUGAAAGACAUCGGCUCAACCGAUGCAGUGCCAUUGAUACUGGAUAGCUUGAGUGUUGGAGGGGUACAUGGAAUUGAUGGUGUAGCGGUGAAAUGCAUAGAUACCAUCAGGAACACCGAUAGCGAAGGCAUUGUACUGGCCAACAACUGACGCUGAGGCACGAAAGCAUGGGUAGCGAACAGGAUUAGAAACCCGUGUAGUCC